rnacentral:rRNA from 1 species
AUGCUGAGAACUUUCCAGAGAUGAAUUGGUGCUUUUGGGAACUCAGACACAGGUGCUGCAUGGCUGUUGUCAGCUCGUGUCGUGAGAUGUUGGGUUAAGUCCCGUAACGAGCGCAACCCUUGUCCUUAGUUACCAGCACGUAAUGGUGGGCACUCUGAGAGUGACUGCCGGUGACAAACCGGAGGAAGGUGGGGAUGACGUCAAGUCAUCAUGGCCCAUACGGCCAGGGCUACACACGUGCUACAAUGGUCGGUACAAAGGGUUGCCAAGCCGCGAGGUGGAGCUAAUCCCAUAAAACCGAUGGUAGUCCGGAUCGCAGUCUGCAACUUGACUGCGUGAAGUCGGAAUCGCUAGUAAUCGUGAAUCAGAAUGUCACGGUGAAUACGUUCCCGGGCCUUGUACACACCGCCCGUCACACCAUGGGAGUGGGUUGCUCCAGAAGUAGCUAGUCUAACCUCGGGGGGACGGUACCACGAC